CGACGCCUCGCCGCUGCCGUGACACCAGCUUCCAGCGGCCUCGCAGACCAGGAGGUCCGAGGUUUUGGUGAGCUGCAUUUCCCAGCGGCAAGCAUCCAGCAUACAAGGAGAAAUCAGAAGGGUAAGUCUGUUCUUUCUGAUGCCAGUGUGUCCAGCUGAGGUAUUUUUUGGCAGUGACUCCCACCACCAGUAAGAAAUUGCUGGCAAUUGUGUGGAGUUGUAGUCUUUCAGAGGUGACAGCUGACUCCUGGAGAAACUACUUUUGCCUCAGAGAAAGUCUCUCAAGCCUCCCUACCUUUUCUAUAAGGAGAUUUCUUCCAAGCAAGUACUGCCCUCACUGUACUGCCAGACAACAGUUCCUACUGGUGGAUACUUCAAAGGAAAACCAUACCAAGAGCUUGUAUGGUGAAAAUGAUUGAAAACAGGAAGCUGAAGACUCCAAAGAAUGGGAGUUACAGGAUUUGGCCAAGUUUUUUUGACAAAGUACCGAUGUGACAAAGACUGAGAAGGACCAAACAAGCCAGGAGUAACAUUUUAGCAGUGCAGUAACAGAACUGGAAAAUACAAGAAGUAACCAAGUUCAUUUUCAUAACAGAAGAAUAAAAAGCACGCAAAAGGAAGUGAAUCCCUUCUCAUAGAAAACAAUGCAGUUUGGGUAUAACUGAUCUGUAUUUCAGUGCAGCAACAGAAUGUCUGCUUUAACAAUAGACACAAUAAAAGAAAACAUUAAAGACAAGUAAGUUACUUAGAAAAUUAGUCCUCACCAUUUCUGAGGU